AGAACCAGUCGGCAAACACACCGAAAGGUGUGGGCGCAAAGCUACGGGUCUACAGGCAGAUGCUGCCCAUGAUGGCCGAGUUGCACCC
rfam:Alicyclobacillus hesperidum TRH17-3-68 TRH17368ctg11, whole genome shotgun sequence.